rnacentral:lncRNA from 1 species
GAACGAAGAGAGAGAGGACGGUUACUGAUGUGGCAAAGGAUGUCUGCAAGCUUUUUAAUCUGGAAGCUGACAAAGUCAUCCAGUAUGUGGAUAAUAGACCUUUUAAUGAUCAGAGGUACUUCUUGGAUGAUGCGAAGCUCAAGAGUCUUGGGUGGUCUGAGCGCACUAGAUGGGAGGAGGGCCUAAGGAAGACGAUGGAAUGGUACGUAGCUAAUUCUGACUAUUGGGGUGAUGUUUCUGGUGCAUUGCUGCCUCACCCAAGGACAUUGAUGAUGCCUGGGUGUGAGGGCUCUGAGGAAAUUAAAGGAAUGCUAAAUCUGUUUACUAACAACCAGACGAAGAUGAAGACUACAACAUCAAAUGGUUCUUCCCAAACUCAUUCUCUCAAGUUCUUGAUAUAUGGUCGGACAGGAUGGAUUGGUGGACUUCUUGGAAAAAUAUGUGAGAAGCAAGGAAUUCCACAUGAAUAUGGAAAAGGUCGCUUGGAAGAGCGCUCUUCGCUCAUCCUGGAUAUCCAAACUGUCAAGCCAACACAUGUCUUCAAUGCUGCUGGUGUUACUGGCAGGCCCAAUGUUGAUUGGUGCGAGUCUCACAAGCCGGACACCAUACGUACCAAUGUUGCAGGCACCUUGACCCUGGCUGAUGUGUGUAGGGAACAUGGGUUAUUGGUGAUGAACUAUGCUACUGGGUGCAUAUUUGAGUAUGAUGCAAAUCAUCCUGAAGGGUCAGGCAUCGGCUUUAAAGAAGAGGAUAAACCAAAUUUUACUGGUUCAUUCUACUCAAAGACCAAGGCAAUGGUAAUUGCUUAUUCCAUUUGCAAUGAUUUCACUUUGUUGUAGAUCUUGCAUUGUUCUGUGGUGAUAUUACGUUUGUAAAUUUAAAUUGCGAACGGUGGGAGUAACUUCUGAUUAUUUCCUCCCUGGACUAUGCAGGUUGAGGAACUGUUGAAGGAGUAUGAUAAUGUCUGCACCCUGCGAGUCCGGAUGCCAAUAUCCUCUGACCUCAACAAUCCCAGAAACUUCAUCACAAAGAUUAGUCGGUACAACAAGGUGGUGAAUAUUCCAAACAGCAUGACUGUAUUGGAUGAGCUUUUGCCAAUUUCAGUUGAGAUGGCAAAAAGGAACUUGCGGGGCAUCUGGAACUUCACCAAUCCUGGUGUAGUUAGCCACAAUGAGAUUUUGGAGAUGUACAAGAAGUACCUUGAUCCCAGCUACAAGUGGACAAACUUCACGCUAGAAGAACAGGCUAAGGUCAUUGUUGCACCUCGGAGCAACAAUGAGAUGGACGCGACAAAGCUGA